rnacentral:rRNA from 1 species
GCGCACCAAGCGCGAAAACUUUACAAUGUGCGAAAGCACGAUAAGGGAACUCUGAGUGCCUCCUAAGGAGGCUGCUCUGAUGUCUAAAAAGCAACAGAAGUAAGGGCUGGGUAAGACCGGUGCCAGCCGCCGCGGUAACACCGGCAGCCCAAGUGGUAGCCACGUUUAUUGGGUCUAAAGCGUUCGUAGCCGGCCAGGUAAGUUCCUUGGUAAAUUUAGCCGCUUUAACGGUUAAGCUUUCAGGGAAUACUGCUUGGCUUGGGACUGGGGAGAGGUCAGAGGUAC